GUACUCACUUCAGCAGCACAUAGCCUAAAAUUGCAACCAUACAGAGAAGAUUAGCAUGGCCCCUGCACAAGGAUGACACGCAAAUUCAUGAAGUGUUCCAUCUUUUU
ensembl:snRNA U6 U6 spliceosomal RNA